GGGGCUAUAGCUCAGCUGGGAGAGCGCUUGCAUGGCAUGCAAGAGGUCAGCGGGCUUGCAUGGCAUGCAAGAGGUCAGCGGUUCGAUCCCGCUUAGCUCCACCA
rnacentral:tRNA from 1 species